rnacentral:lncRNA from 1 species
GCUCCUGGUCAUCCUGCUCCUCCUGCUCCUCAGGCACGGGUAUAUCUGUGGCACGUGGUGGGUGUGGGGUGCGAGAUCCCCCAUGAUGCGUGGAUGAUGAGGGCAUGUGUGUGGUAGGUGGGGUUGUGGGGACCUCGAAAGGUGGAUGAUGAUGGUGUGUUUGUGGGAUGCUGGGACGACAGAGGUACCUGUGUGGGAUCUGGAAAGAUCCCAGACUGCAUGAAGGG